CGCCACUCUCGCGGCCCUAUCUGCGAGGUAUUCUUGACCUCCUUGGGCCUUCUCGGUUGUCCCCGCUGCUCCGUGCCAACCCCUGCGUCUCGGAACCGGGAAGGUGGAGUAUAAGCCGGUCCGCCCGCGCUUUUGUUUGCCACCAGAGCGAUUGAGGAGCCUCUGCGACUACCGGGGAUUGACUACCCAGCCUCUGAACUAUUGAUGGAGAACUAACCUAGGGAUCUGCCUCCUUCCUGUCUCCUCGAUGACCAUUCUGGAGAAGAUAAUCCUGGUGAGCUUUGUAAGCCUAAGCCAUGGCUCUCUGCUCUAAACCCUCCUCCAAUGCCACCCAUCCUCUCUGGCUCCCAGAGCCCUCCUGGCUUGCACUAUAACCAAGAGCUGAGCAGAAUCUCACUUUCCUCCUAGUGUUUUUUGUUUUGUUUUCAUUUUGAGACUCACAUAGCCCAGGGUGGCCUCCAACUUGCUAUAUAGCCAGGUUGACCUAUAUUUCUGAUCCUCCUGCCUCCACCUCUCAAAUGCUAAGGUUAUAGGCAUGUACCACCAACACCGACUUUAUGGGCUGGAAUCAAACCCAAGGCUUUGAGCAAGCAGUCUAUAUCUGAGCUACAUCUCCAGUGUGCAUUCUCCUACUAAGCUUAUAACUUGGCCUAUCACAAUCCCAGGGACACAAGACUUCGUUGUUCAUAGCAAUAGCAGUGGACAGAGUAGUGAUGGUUUUAUGUACCCAUAAACUGAAUUCCAAGCCAUACAGGCUUGCAUCAGGGGCCAAGUGGUACUAGGUGACUUCAUAUGAACUGAACCCUGGUUGUAAGAAUCCAUGUCCUUCAGACAUGGUAUAGAUGGGUAUAGAUGUCAGAAGAGGAACUCUGGGCUUCAGGGCCUACCUCCUCUGGAGCUCAAGCAACUAUGGCAAAGCUCCACAGACCACACAACUCCAACAGAAGAUAUCCAAGAAUAAGGUGUCAGCAAGGUUGGAGUCUCCUAUGGGCCCCUCCUCAACUUGGAGAUAAAAGUCUUCUCCCUGUGUCCUUACCCAAUGUCUUUUGUGUCCUCAUUCUGAUCUCUACAUUGAGUGACAUCAGUCCUAUUGAAUUGGGGCUAUCCCUAUUGGCCUGAUCUUUACUUAAUUGCCUCUUUAAAGAAUCACUCCUUCAUGUCCAUUCUGAGGUCAUGGAGAUUAGAGUUUCAACACAGCAUCUGAGGGGACACAAUUCAGCCGUAGGAGAACCUCUCUCACUAGACCACCCUCUGCUUCCACCCCAUCCUAGCAUCUCCAGGCACACGAACCUCCUUCCUGUCCUCUGAGGACACCAGUCGUCACCAGUCAGGAGCAUCUCCCCUCAAAACCUUCCCCAGCCACACCCACUUCCUACAUGGGCUCAUUCUAAAACCACCCGCUCAGGAGACCUUCCCUGAUACCUUGUAGGAAGUGCCAUCCCUGUUCACCAGUACUAGUGUGUCACCUCCUCGCAGGUAAAAAUCACACUACUUUCUAGGAAUGAAACACUGGGACCCUGGAGCGGUCUUAUAAGUUCUAUAAGGACCACGGUCCUGUUAAUCUGCUUAGGACUUUUGACCUUUGGAACUGUGGGAUCAUCAACUUCUGCUAUUUAAUAUCAACUUUGUACUAGUGUUUCCCAGCAGUAAAAGGCACCAAUACACUGGCUUAAUUUUGUUGUUA